UGGCGACCGGCGCACGGGUGAGUAACGCGUAUGCAACCUGCCCGAUACCGGGGUAUAGUCCAUGGAAACGUGGAUUAACACCCCAUAGUACUUUUAUCCUGCCUGGGAUGUGAGUUAAAUGUUCAAGGUAUCGGAUGGGCAUGCGUCCUAUUAGUUAGUUGGCGGGGUAACAGCCCACCAAGACGAUGAUAGGUAGGGGUUCUGAGAGGAAGGUCCCCCACAUUGGAACUGAGACACGGUCCAA
rnacentral:rRNA from 1 species